rnacentral:rRNA from 1 species
UACGGAGGAUGCAAGCGUUAUCCGGAUUUAUUGGGUUUAAAGGGUGCGCAGGUUGUUUGAUAAGUCAGUGGUGAAAGUCUGUCGCUUAACGGUAGGAUUGCCAUUGAUACUGUUGGACUUGAAUAUGGAUGAGGUAGGCGGAAUGUGUAGUGUAGCGGUGAAAUGCAUAGAUAUCACGAGGAACUCCGAUUGCGCAGGCAGCUUACUAAACUACUACUGACGCUCAGGCACGAAGGCGUGGGGAUCAAACAGGAUUA